GACGAACGCUGGCGGCGUGCCUAAUACAUGCAAGUUGAGCGCUGAAGGUUGGUACUUGUACCAACUGGAUGAGCAGCGAACGGGUGAGUAACGCGUGGGGAAUCUGCCUUUGAGCGGGGGACAACAUUUGGAAACGAAUGCUAAUACCGCAUAAAAACUUUAAACACAAGUUUUAAGUUUGAAAGAUGCAAUUGCAUCACUCAAAGAUGAUCCCGCGUUGUAUUAGCUAGUUGGUGAGGUAAAGGCUCACCAAGGCGAUGAUACAUAGCCGACCUGAGAGGGGGGUCGGCCACAUUGGGACUGAGACACGGCCCAAACUCCUACGGGAGGCAGCAGUAGGGAAUCUUCGGCAAUGGACGAAAGUCUGACCGAGCAACGCCGCGUGAGUGAAGAAGGUUUUCGGAUCGUAAAACUCUGUUGGUAGAGAAGAACGUUGGUGAGAGUGGAAAGCUCAUCAAGUGACGGUAACUACCCAGAAAGGGACGGCUAACUACGUG
rnacentral:rRNA from 1 species